rnacentral:rRNA from 1 species
CAGCAGCCGCGGGAAUACGAAGGGUGCAAGCGUUACUCGGAAUUACUGGGCGUAAAGGGUGCGUAGGUGGUUUUUUAAGUCCGUUGUGAAAUCCCUGGGCUCAACCUGGGAAUGGCAGUGGAUACUGGAAAGCUAGAGUGCGGUAGAGGGUAGUGGAGUUCCCGGUGUAGCAGUGAAAUGCGUAGAGAUCGGGAGGAACACCAGUGGCGAAGGCGGCUACCUGGACCAGCACUGACACUGAAGCACGAAAGCGUGGGGAGCAAACAGGAUUAGAUACCCGCGUAGUCCCUGUCUCUUAUAC